AAAGUCGUAACAAGGUCUCCGUUGGUGAACCAGCGGAGGGAUCAUUACCGAGUUGCAAAACUCCCAAACCAUCGCGAACGUUACCCGUAACCGUUGCUUCGGUGGGCGGCUCCAGGGCGGAGCCUCCAGCCCUUCGCGGGGCGCCCGCCGGAGGACACAUAUCAAACCCUUAUCAUAAUGGAUAUCUCUGAGUAUAAAAUUUAUAAUAAGUAAAAACUUUCAACAACGGAUCUCUUGGUUCUG
rnacentral:misc_RNA from 1 species